UACAUGGGAUGCAAGCGUUGUUCGGAAUUACUGGGCGUAAAGGGCGCGUAGGCGGUUCGAUAAGUCAGCUGUGAAAACCAUGGGCUUAACUCAUGGCCUGCAGUUGAGACUGUCGGGCUGGAGUGUGGGAGAGGAGAGUGGAAUUCCUGGUGUAGCGGUGAAAUGCGUAGAUAUCAGGAGGAACACCGGUGGCGAAGGCGGCUCUCUGGACCACAACUGACGCUGAGGCGCGAAAGCUAGGGGAGCAAACAGG
rnacentral:rRNA from 1 species